rnacentral:rRNA from 1 species
UACGAAGGGGGCGAGCGUUGUUCGGAUUUACUGGGCGUAAAGGGCGCGCAGGCGGCUCAUUUUGUCAGGCGUGAAAGCCCCGGGCUUAACCUGGGAACUGCGUUUGAUACGGAUGGGCUAGAGUUCGGGAGAGGAGAGUGGAAUUCCCAGUGUAGAGGUGAAAUUCGUAGAUAUUGGGAAGAACACCGGUGGCGAAGGCGGCUCUCUGGACCGAGACUGACGCUGAGGCGCGAAGGCCAGGGGAGCAAACGGG